AUUGAACGCUGGCGGAAUGCUUUACACAUGCAAGUCGAACGGCAGCACGGGGCAACCUGGUGGCGAGUGGCGAACGGUGAGUAAUACAUCGGAACGUGCCCAAUCGUGGGGGAUAACGUAGCGAAAGUUACGCUAAUACCGCAUACGAUCUACGGAUGAAAGCGGGGGAUCGCAAGACCUCGCGCGAGUGGAGCGGCCGAUGUCAGAUUAGGUAGUUGGUGGGGUAAAGGCUCACCAAGCCAACGAUCUGUAGCUGGUCUGAGAGGACGACCAGCCACACUGGAACUGAGACACGGUCCAGACUCCUACGGGAGGCAGCAGUGGGGAAUUUUGGACAAUGGGCGCAAGCCUGAUCCAGCCAUUCCGCGUGCAGGAUGAAGGCCUUC
rnacentral:rRNA from 1 species